CUUUGAAACAAGGACCAGGUCUGCAAGCGCUUGUAGUCAGCUGCGAUCUUCUAACCAAUCAACAAAAUGGAGAUAAAAAGCCAACAAGACUGACACAGUCUGCCAUCGAUCUACUUUGACACAAUGCUUGUCCACCUAAUCCAGUCCCAGUGCUCUAAUUGGCUAACUGCAGCCAUUUUCUCUGCUCUGGGGAGCGUGGAGAUUAGGGGGAGUGUGUACUCGCUGCUGCCCGGCGCCUAAAUGAGUCAUGCUGUGGGUACAAUGUCUCUCCGAGGGAUAGAUGGAGCACGCCCACACAUACACACAGAAUCAACGCUCUCACACCUGAGCUUACCUACCGAUUCCUGCUGAGGUUUUCCCUGCUCUCAUGUACCCUCAACCUAAAGAUUGCUGCAGGCUAAGCACACGCCUUCAUACUGGCCGCACUCCCCAGAAGGACAACACAACUCACAAAGAGCUCAUGGAGCAUGAUAAAGAGCUGACUUGGUCUCCAGAUUCCCUUUGUUUAUGAUCCAAUCAAGCAAGCCUAACUCACAAAGGCCAUACCCCACAGCCAACAGGACCCAAAGGAUCAUGAUGCCACACAUCAGAUUACAGAUGAACGUAGGACAGGUGCAA